UACGUAGGUGGCUAGCGUUGUCCGGAUUUAUUGGGCGUAAAGAGCGUGUAGGCGGCCAGGUAGGUCUGGUGUGAAAACUCGAGGCUUAACCUCGAGAUGUCAUCGGAAACCAUCUGGCUAGAGUCCGGAAGAGGAGAGUGGAAUUCCUGGUGUAGCGGUGAAAUGCGCAGAUAUCAGGAAGAACACCAAUGGCGAAAGCAGCUCUCUGGGACGGUACUGACGCUGAGACGCGAAAGCGUGGGGAGCGAACAGG
rnacentral:rRNA from 1 species